rnacentral:rRNA from 1 species
AGAACGAACGCUGGCGGCAUGCCUAACACAUGCAAGUCGAACGAGACCUUUCGGGGUCUAGUGGCGCACGGGUGAGUAACACGUGACUAACCUACCUUCAAGUGGGGGAUAACCUCGGGAAACCGGGGCUAAUACCGCAUAACAUCUUUGAAGUGGAAAUUCUGGAGAUCAAAGGAGCAAUUCGCUGGAAGAGGGGGUCGCGGCUGAUUAGCUAGUUGGCGGGGUAAUGGCCCACCAAGGCUUUGAUCGGUAGCCGGCCUGAGAGGGCGCACGGCCACACUGGAACUGAAACACGGUCCAGACUCCUACGGGAGGCAGCAGUGGGGAAUUUUGCGCAAUGGGGGAAACCCUGACGCAGCAACGCCGCGUGGAGGAUGAAGUCCCUUGGGACGUAACUCCUUCGACCGGAGAUGAUGACGGUACCGGUGGAAGAGCCCCGGCUAACGUUCGCGCCAGCAGCCGC